rnacentral:rRNA from 1 species
GAUGAACGCUGGCGGCGUGCCUAAUACAUGCAAGUCGAGCGAACGGACGAGAAGCUUGCUUCUCUGAUGUUAGCGGCGGACGGGUGAGUAACACGUGGAUAACCUACCUAUAAGACUGGGAUAACUUCGGGAAACCGGAGCUAAUACCGGAUGAUAUUUUGAACCGCAUGGUUCAAAAGUGAAAGACGGUCUUGCUGUCACUUAUAGAUGGAUCCGCGCUGCAUUAGCUAGUUGGUAAGGUAACGGCUUACCAAGGCAACGAUGCAUAGCCGACCUGAGAGGGGGAUCGGCAACACUGGAGCUGAGACACGGUCCAGACUCCUACGGGAGGCAGCAGUAGGGAAUCUUCCGCAAGGGGCGAAAGCCUGACGGAGCAACGCCGCGUGAGUGAUGAAGGUCUUCGGAUCGUAAAACUCUGUUAUUAGGGAAGAACAUAUGUGUAAGUAACUGUGCACAUCUUGACGGUACCUAAUCAGAAAGCCACGGCUAACUACGUG